rnacentral:lncRNA from 13 species
AUGUAUAUUUACCAUACUAGAAAAAGGAUGCUUGGAAGAAUGGCCUUCCAAGUCAGAAGCAUCUGGGUUGAAAUUGAGCUCCACUCCCUACUGUGCCAAAGCCACAUAGCAGUGUUCUUACUUGGCCUACUCCUAAGGCAAGCCAUCUCUGAUGUCCUGGAAGCUUCUCUUCUAUCCAGUGGUUGGAAUGAAUCUUCUGGUAGAAGGCAAGGUGGGAAUUUGGUACACGGGUUGAAAGUCGUGUUCCUAAGGUUCUCUGUUGACAUCUCUGAGCAGAAGAGAGGCCCCGGAGUCGUCCUGGAAAUUUUCUUCAGCUGGAGUGUAAUGACACGAUCUCAGCUCACUGCAACCUCCACCUCCCGGAUUGAAGCCCUCUCCUACUUCAGCCUCCCGAGUAGCUGGGAUUACAGGCAUGUGCCACCACACCCAGCUAAUAUUUUGAAUUUUUAGUAGAGAUUUUGUUUCACCGUGAUGGCCAGACUAGUCUUGACCUCCUGACCUCAAAUGAUAAACCCCUCUUGGCCUCCCAGAGAGCUGGGAUUAUAGGCGUGAGUCACCCUGCCCGGCCUCAUAUGAAUACUUGUUACCUGCGUAGAAUGUGUGAUGAUCAAGUCAGGGUACGUGGAGUAUUCAUCACCUUGAGUAUUUAUCUUUUUUUUUUUUUUUUUUUUGUUUAAGACGGAGUGUUGCUGUUUUCCAGGCCGGAGUGCAGUGGUGCAAUCUCGGCUUGCUGUAACCUCUGCCUCCCUAGUUCAAGCAGUUCUCCCGCCUCAGCCUUUGGAGUAAGCUGGGAUUGAGCCAUGCACCACUACGCUGGGCUAAUUUUUGUAUUUUUAAUAGAGACAGGGUUUCACCAUGUGGUCCAGGCUGGUCUGGAACCCUGACCUCAGGUGAUCCGUCUGCCUCAGCCUCCCAAAGUUCUGGGAUUACAGGUGUGAGCUACCGUGCCUGGCCGAGAUUUAUCUCUGUGUGCUGGUAACAUUUCUAGCCUUCUAUUUCACCUACUUUGAAAUAUACAAUAGGUGUUUGCUAACAUAUUGCAAGUAUGUCGCGCCCUUGCACUCCAGCCUAACUAUGGUGACCGUACUCUGCCAUAGAAACAUUAGCAUUUACUGUUUCUAACUGUACAUUUGUACCCAUUAACCAACCUCUCUUCCUCACCCCCAUCCCAUCCCAGCCUCUGAUAACUGCCAUUGUAUUCUCUGUUUCCAUGAGGUCAACUUUUUUUGGUUGUCGUGGUCGUUGUUUUUAAUUCCCACAUGUCUGUGAGAAUGUGUGAUGUUUUUCUUUCUAUGGCUGGCCUGACUUAUUUCACUUAACAUAAUGACCUCCACCUUCAUCCAUGUUGCUGCAAGCAACGCGCUUUCGCUUUGGUGUUUUUUUCUGGCUGAAGAGCGUUCCAUUUGUAUAUAUGCCACGUUUUCCUUGCCUGCUCGUUGGUGGAUACUUG